rnacentral:rRNA from 1 species
UACAGAGGGUGCAAGCGUUGCUCGGAAUUACUGGGCGUAAAGGGGAGGUAGGUGGUCUUGUGCGUCUAUGGUGAAAUCCCUGGGCUUAACCCAGGAAGUGCCCUGGAUACGGCAAGACUAGAGUACUGGAGAGGGUCGUGGAAUUCCCGGUGUAGCGGUGAAAUGCGUAGAGAUCGGGAGGAACACCAGCGGCGAAGGCGGCGACCUGGACAGUCACUGACACUCAACUCCGAAAGCGUGGGGAGCAAACAGG